GCUAAACGCGAAGAACCUUACCUGGUCUUGACAUCCUAGGAAUCCCGAAGAGAUUUGGGAGUGCUCGCAAGAGAGCCAUAACACAGGUGCUGCAUGGCUGUCGUCAGCUCGUGUCGUGAGAUGUUGGGUUAAGUCCCGCAACGAGCGCAACCCUUGCCAUCAGUUGCUACGAAAGGGCACUCUGAUGGGACUGCCGGUGACAAACCGGAGGAAGGUGGGGAUGACGUCAAGUCCUCAUGGCCCUUAUAGGUGGGGCUACACACGUCAUACAAUGGCUGGUACAAAGGGUUGCCAACCCGCGAGGGGGAGCCAAUCCCACAAAGCCAGUCGUAGUCCGGAUUGCAGGCUGCAACUCGCCUGCAUGAAGUCGGAAUCGCUAGUAAUCGUGGAUCAGCAUGUCACGGUGAAUACGUUCCCGGGUCUUGUACACACCG
rnacentral:rRNA from 1 species